AGGACGAACGCUGGCGGCGUGCUUAACACAUGCAAGUCGAGCGGAAAGGCCCUUCGGGGUACUCGAGCGGCGAACGGGUGAGUAACACGUGAGUAAUCUGCCCCUAGCUCUGGGAUAGCUCCGGGAAACCGGGAUUAAUACCGGAUACGACCACCUUAGACAUCUUUUGUGGUGGAAAGAAUUUCGGCUAGGGAUGAGCUCGCGGCCUAUCAGCUUGUUGGUGGGGUAAUGGCCUACAAGGCGACGGACGGGUA
rnacentral:rRNA from 1 species